rnacentral:rRNA from 1 species
GAUGAACGCUGGCGGCGUGCCUAAUACAUGCAAGUCGAGCGAACGGACGAGAAGCUUGCUUCUCUGAUGUUAGCGGCGGAGGGGUGAGUAACACGUGGAUAACCUACCUAUAAGACUGGGAUAACUUCGGGAAACCGGAGCUAAUACCGGAUGAUAUUUUGAACCGCAUGGUGCAAAAGUGAAAGACGGUCUUGCUGUCACUUAUAGAUGGAUCCGCGCUGCAUUAGCUAGUUGGUACGGUAACGGCUUACCAAGGCAACGAUGCAUAGCCGACCUGAAAGGGUGAUCGCCCACCCGGGAUGUGAGACUCGGCCCCCACUCUUACGGGGGGCCGCAGUAGGGACUCUUCCGCAAGGGGCGAAAGCCUGACGGUGCAACGCCGCGUGAGUGAUGAAGGUCCUCGGCUCGUAGAGCUAUGUUAUCAGGGAAGAACAUAUGUGUAAGUAGCUGUGCACAUCUUGACGGUACCUGCUGAGAAAGCCACGGCUAACUACGUG